rnacentral:rRNA from 1 species
GACGAACGCUGGCGGCGUGCUUAACACAUGCAAGUCGAACGGAAAGGCCCUGCUUUUGUGGUGUGCUCGAGUGGCGAACGGGUGAGUAACACGUGAGUAACCUGCCCUUGACUUUGGGAUAACUUCAGGAAACUGGGGCUAAUACCGGAUAGGAGCUCCUGCUGCAUGGUGGGGGUUGGAAAGUUUCGGCGGUUGGGGAUGGACGCGCGGCUUAUCAGCUUGUUGGUGGGGUAGUGGCUUACCAAGGCUUUGACGGGUAGCCGGCCUGAGAGGGUGACCGGCCACAUGGGGACUGAGAUACGGCCCAGACUCCUACGGGAGGCAGCAGGGGGGAAUAUUGCACAAUGGGCGGAAGCCUGAUGCAGCAACGCCGCGUGCGGGAUGACGGCCUUCGGGUUGUAAACCGCUUUCGCCUGUGACGAAGCGUGAGUGACGGUAAUGGGUAAAGAAGCACCGGCUAACUACGUG